AAAUUUGCCUUCAAUAGAGCCUUGCAGGUGUUCUCUUAGACAAAAUAUUCUGGAUGGGCAAGAAGAGACCAUUCUAAUUCCCAAACAAGAGCUGACAAAAUGGGAAACCGAUGGACUGAAAUAGCUCUGACAAGGUCCCCGUAUGCCGAGGGUGACACCCUACCUAACCAAUGAGCAACAGUCGCCAUCAAACAGACCAAGCGUGUUCUGGACAUUUGGGAUUGGCACUAGCUUCUGUGGGGUAGUAGCCCUCCCCACCCGUGAAUGCAGCAAAGGGUGGAACUGGCCACAUCUCCAACCCAACGCCUCCUUUCUACCUCAGAAGCAGCUGCCACUCUCCAUCCUGCUGCUGUGGGUUUAGAUCAGAAAUGUCCCCCAAAGACCUUGUAUUGACAGCCCUGUUGCAGCCUGGGGUGCUGUGGGGAAAUGGUUGGAUCCUUAAGAAGUGGAGCUAUGUAGAAGGACACCUCUGCUGCCUGCUUUAGCAAGCACACACCUCCUUCAGCAUGUGGUCUCUACCUCGAUGUGCUGCCUUGCAACAGGGCCAAAUGGUUAUGGAUUAAAACCCCCGGAGCCAUGAAUGUCUCUCUUAUAGAUUACUCUGUGUAGUUCAUCACACUGACAGAAAGCUGGCUAACACACUCGGUACUUACUAGCUAAGUGGCUACAUUCUUUGGCUACUGAGUUUGCGCCCAGAGGGAAACUUGGAGAUGGUCUAGCAACGGAAACAGUACUGAGUCAGCCUGGGUGCUCAGAAUAUCCAGCAGGGGUUGUGAAGGUGCUGAUGAGUCAGAAAGAGGUGCCCUAUUCACAGACCAGCCUUGUAGGCCUGUCAACCGUCUCCAGAGAGGUAGGGUCUGAGAUGGAUGAAGACGUAAAGUUAAAACAUGCCAUCCACUCAGGCAGGGAAGAGAUGGUUCCCACAGAUAAAGGAGCUAGCUGCUAGCUGGGUCACAGAAAGGAAUUCCAUCCAAGCAUUUAGAGUAAGCCGGAAUGCUGACCAAGAAUAAAAUGCAAAAGAUGUCCACAGACAAGUGAUGAAAAGCAGGCUGGACCACCUGGUGACAGGCAGACAACUUCUAUUAAGAGAUGGCGUUCACCUUGAUUGACCUUCAGUGCAACAGCCCUGAAGAUGGUUAUCAUGUGUCCGUUUACGAAGUCCAUGUGAUACAUAACAAACUUAAAAGCGGAAACAAGUAGCUUAGAACUUUGACUAUAAAACAAACAAACAGGUACAAUCGAAGCUCUGGUGGUGUGAUUUGUCCCCCUCAUGACCAACUGUCACGAACAAAUAAAAGGGGCUGCCAUGC